rnacentral:lncRNA from 1 species
ACGCUAGCGGUCGCUCUUCCACUAACAGCAUCUUGAACAAUUUACAUCAGUGUAAGAUUAAAAAGCAAGCCACAGUGUAGGGUUUUUUUUUCUUUUGCAACAAGCAUGGAUGAGUUUGAAGGCAGAGGUAAAACGCAGUAGUCAGGCUUGCUGUUGCUGCACUGGGGUGACGAGUUAAAUGACCUGAAUCAGUCCUGGUUUGCAGUUUUGCCACUUCAUACUUCC